GACGAACGCUGGCGGCGUGCCUAAUACAUGCAAGUCGAACGCAGUGGGGACGGGUGCGUAACACGUGGGUAACCUCCCAUCAGAGGGGAUAACCCUUGGAAACAGGUGCUAAACCGAUAUUGGUGGAUGGACCCGCGGUGCAUUAGCUAGUUGUUGAGGUAACGGCGCACCAAGGCGACGAUGCAUAGCCGAGCUGAGAGGAUGAUCGGCAACACUGGGACUGAGAAACGGCCCAGACUCCUACGGGAGGAAGCAGUAGGGAAUAUGCGGCAAUGGACGAAAGUCUGACGGAGCAACGCCGCGUGAGUGAAGAAGGUUUUCGGAUCGUAAAACUCUGUUGUUAGAGAAGCGGUAUCUAAACAGAAAGCCACGGCUAACUACGUGCCAGCCGCCGCGGUAAUAC
rnacentral:rRNA from 1 species